rnacentral:rRNA from 1 species
UCAACGGGGAGGAAGUGGGGAUGACGUCAAGUCCUCAUGGCCCUUAUGUCCAGGGCUACACACGUGCUACAAUGGGCAGUACAAAGGGUAGCAAGCCUGCGAAGGUGAGCCAAUCUCAAAAAGCUGUUCGUAGUUCGGAUUGGAGUCUGCAACUCGACUCCAUGAAGCUGGAAUCGCUAGUAAUCGCGGAUCAGCAUGCCGCGGUGAAUACGUUCCCGGGCCUU